rnacentral:rRNA from 1 species
UGCCUGCCCAGUGAACAUAUUCAACGGCCGCGGUACCCUAACCGUGCAAAGGUAGCGUAAUCACUUGUCCCUUAAAUAGGGACCAGUAUGAAUGGCUAAAUGAGGGCUCACCUGUCUCCUUUGGUCCCCCAAUGAAACUGAUCUCCUAGUCCAAAAGCUAGAAUAAACAUACAAGACGAGAAGACCCUGUGGAGCUUAAAACACCGGUUACCGGCAUACCCCCCCCCCCAGUAACCCCUGUUUUUAGUUGGGGCGAMUACGGAACAAACAAAACCUCCACGAACCGGACUAACCUCCACCACAGGCACACAUGCCAAAAACUGACCCAGUACUACUGACUAACGAACCAAGUUACCCCAGGGAUAACAGCGCCAUCCCCUUAAAGAGUCCAUAUCGCCAAGGGGGCUUACGACCUCGAUGUUGGAUCAGGACCCCCCGGCGG